UCCCUGUUCAUCUCCUCUCCUUCCCAGGUCAUUCAUUUCGCCCGUUCCCCAUUCUCCUCUUCCUCAGUUGCUUCUGGAGGCGACGGCGGCUUCCGGAGGGCGAUUAGUGCAAGGAGACGAGUUGAUCUGAGGAUGUUGUGCCAAGUUUGCUUCUCUCAUUGCGCGGCGUACAACGACACGACCUUCGGCAUGUUUUUUCGGGAUCCAAACAAAAAAAUUGUGCUGCUGCCCUGCUCUGUGACAGAACGUUUCCCACGGCACUUUGCUGGUGACUUUCUGAACUUCCGAGCUCAUGGCCGACGGUACGUUGUGUAUGUGUACACAGGGGCUGACAACAAGAAAAGAAUUGGUGGUGAUGACUUGUGGAAGUUCAUGAAGGACUUCAACUUGGGACUUGGACAGCUUGUUGUUCUUGUGAUGACUGGGCGCAUUGCAAAAGCAUAUGUGUGUUCCUUUAGUUCUGGCUUUGUUGAUGGAGGUGGAUCUGAAGUAGUACAACAGGAGGAAGAGCAAAUAUGCACGGAUGAAGAGGGACGGGUAGAUGAGGAUGAGAAUGAUGGAAAGGUCAUGGGAGAAGCAACCAUAUAUAGGCAUGAUAUACAACACGGGUGUGAUUUUGGAUUUGGAUGAGGAAGACCAGCUUGCCAGGAUCAUCGACAUUGAGCAGGGGAACAUUGGUUCACGGUUUGUUCAUCGUUUCACACGCACCAACACCAGGAAGAAGUCAAUGAAAAUCCCCAACAAAGUGCGUGUGCUCCUGAAUAUUGGAGCUGAAGGUUUUAUUGGUGUUCGUUUGGGAGAAGGCCCGGUCUCCAGGGUUGGAUUCAAAACAUCCAAGGAUGGACGCAUGGUUUUCAGUAAGGAGUGGGGAAUUUUCGUGUCAACUCACAACUUGGAGGCAGGGAGUGCUGCUGUUUUCACCUUUCGUAGGAGCAAUACGGCCACCUUUGACGUGGUUUGUGUUGUUGACAUUCUGAGCAUAUGAGCUUAGUUUCUACUUCCAUGCUAGCCAUCUACAUUUUUCUGGUCUUUGUGCCAUGCGUGAUUUCCAUGAAACUUGUUAAAGUUUGCUAUUUCUUAUGUUGAAUGCACUUUUAUGGCGGGGGAUUUGAACCUCGCUCCUCAAGGGAUUAUGCUACCCGCU